UCCGGGAGUGGCAAUCGUUAUCCGGAAUUAUUGGGCGUAAAGCGUCCGCAGGCGGCCUUGUAAGUCUGUCGUUAAAGCGUGGAGCUCAACUCCAUUUAAGCGAUGGAAACUACAAGGCUUGAGUGUGGUAGGGGCAGAGGGAAUUCCCGGUGUAGCGGUGAAAUGCGUAGAUAUCGGGAAGAACACCAGUGGCGAAGGCGCUCUGCUGGGCCAUAACUGACGCUCAUGGACGAAAGCCAGGGGAGAGAAAGGG
rnacentral:rRNA from 1 species